GAAAUGUGAUAAGUAAUGUGAAUUGCAGAAUUCAGUGAAUCAUCGAAUCUUUGAACGCACAUUGCACCUCAUGGUAUUCCGUGAGGUAUACCUGUUCGAGCGUCGUUUAGUUCCAUAAGGCAUUGCCUUGCGUUGACGUUUGUCUGAAUGUAAAAAGUCAGAACGUUGAAAAGCAUUGACGCACGGAUCGUUUGUUGUCUGCAACACCUUGCAAAACAAGAAGCGGGACGGGCCGUCGGUCAAAAAGCUAAACUCAAGUUCGACCUCGAAUCAGGUAGGAUUACCCGCUGAACUUAAGC
rnacentral:misc_RNA from 1 species